CCUACGGGUGGCAGCAGUGAGGAAUAUUGGUCAAUGGGCGAGAGCCUGAACCAGCCAAGUCGCGUGAAGGAUGAAGGCUCUAUGGUUUGUAAACUUCUUUUAUAUGGGAAUAAAGUGAGGAACGUGUUCCUUUUUGUAUGUACCAUAUGAAUAAGCAUCGGCUAACUCCGUGCCAGCAGCCGCGGUAAUACGGAGGAUGCGAGCGUUAUCCGGAUUUAUUGGGUUUAAAGGGUGCGUAGGUGGGUUAUUAAGUCAGCGGUGAAAGUUUGUGGCUCAACCAUAAAAUUGCAGUUGAUACUGGCAGACUUGAGUAUAUUUGAGGUAGGCGGAAUGCGAGGUGUAGCGGUGAAAUGCAUAGAUAUCACGAAGAACACCGAUUGCGAAGGCAGCUUACUAAACUGUGACUGACACUGAAGCACGAAAGCGUGGGGAUCAAACAGGAUUAGAUACCCUAGUAGUC
rnacentral:rRNA from 1 species